rnacentral:rRNA from 1 species
AUGAACGCUAGCUACAGGCUUAACACAUGCAAGUCGAGGGGCAGCAUGAACUUAGCUUGCUAAGUUUGAUGGCGACCGGCGCACGGGUGAGUAACACGUAUCCAACCUGCCGAUGACUCGGGGAUAGCCUUUCGAAAGAAAGAUUAAUACCCGAUGGCAUAGUUCUUCCGCAUGGUAGAACUAUUAAAGAAUUUCGGUCAUCGAUGGGGAUGCGUUCCAUUAGGUUGUUGGCGGGGUAACGGCCCACCAAGCCUUCGAUGGAUAGGGGUUCUGAGAGGAAGGUCCCCCACAUUGGAACUGAGACACGGUCCAAACUCCUACGGGAGGCAGCAGUGAGGAAUAUUGGUCAAUGGACGAGAGUCUGAACCAGCCAAGUAGCGUGAAGGAUGACUGCCCUAUGGGUUGUAAACUUCUUUUAUACGGGAAUAAAGUGAGGCACGUGUGCCUUUUUGUAUGUACCGUAUGAAUAAGGAUCGGCUAACUCCGUGCCAGCAGCCGCGGUAAUACGGAGGAUCCGAGCGUUAUCCGGAUUUAUUGGGUUUAAAGGGAGCGUAGGCGGACGCUUAAGUCAGUUGUGAAAGUUUGCGGCUCAACCGUAAAAUUGCAGUUGAUACUGGGUGUCUUGAGUACAGUAGAGGCAGGCGGAAUUCGUGGUGUAGCGGUGAAAUGCUUAGAUAUCACGAAGAACUCCGAUUGCGAAGGCAGCCUGCUGGACUGUAACUGACGCUGAUGCUCGAAAGUGUGGGUAUCAAACAGGAUUAGAUACCCUGGUAGUCCACACAGUAAACGAUGAAUACUCGCUGUUUGCGAUGUACAGUAAGCGGCCAAGCGAAAGCGUUAAGUAUUCCACCUGGGGAGUACGCCGGCAACGGUGAAACUCAAAGGAAUUGACGGGGGCCCGCACAAGCGGAGGAACAUGUGGUUUAAUUCGAUGAUACGCGAGGAACCUUACCCGGGCUUGAAUUGCAACUGAAUGAUGUGGAGACAUGUCAGCCGCAAGGCAGUUGUGAAGGUGCUGCAUGGUUGUCGUCAGCUCGUGUCGUGAGAUGUUGGGUUAAGUCCCGCAACGAGCGCAACCCUUAUCUUUAGUAGCCAGCGGUUUGGCCGGGCACUCUAGAGAGACUGCCAGGGAUAACCUGGAGGAAGGUGGGGAUGACGUCAAAUCAGCACGGCCCUUACGUCCGGGGCUACACACGUGUUACAAUGGGGGGUACAGAAGGCAGCUACACGGCGACGUGAUGCUAAUCCCUAAAGCCUCUCUCAGUUCGGAUUGGAGUCUGCAACCCGACUCCAUGAAGCUGGAUUCGCUAGUAAUCGCGCAUCAGCCACGGCGCGGUGAAUACGUUCCCGGGCCUUGUACACACCGCCCGUCAAGCCAUGAAAGCCGGGGGUACCUGAAGUGCGUAACCGCAAGGAGCGCCCUAGGGUAAAACUGGUGAUUGGGGCU